rnacentral:snoRNA from 1 species
GCGCCUGUAAUCCCAGCUACUCGGGAGACUGAGGCAAGAGAAUCGCUUGAAGCCAAGAGGCAGAGGUUGCAGUGAGCUGAGAACGUGUCACUGCAUAUCAGCCUGGGCAACAGAG